AUAAAGAAAGUACAUAUUGAUUCUCAUUGUCUCUGAAAACUGAGUGAACAUACAUAUUGCAGAAUUUUUCUGAGAAAAGGAACCUCUGAGAUGUAUGUUCACGUUUUCCAUGUAACAAUCUGGGAGGAAAGGGAUCAACAGCAUGCUGAUCCCACUCUUACGUAUUGAAAUAAGAUGAAAGAAACACUGAAAGAGAACUGAUACCCUAUGGUGGUUUGGGUGAGGUCUGCCCAGGGGAUAAAACAUCAAGUUUGCUGCAUACAAAGAAGUCCAUCCAGGAAAUCAGUUGCCAAUCUCACCUUCUUUCAUGUACCCCCAGUCUCUUCUAUUGAUUCUUUUGGAGCUGUUCCCCGUUUGGCUUUAUAGGAAGAGAAGGAAAAGAAGUCAAAACAUCCUUCCUCAGGUGGAAAGGGACCACAGCCAAGGAAUGCAAGCAACCUCUAGAAGCUGGAAAAGAAGACCAGGCCAUGACAAAACUCAGAGGUGCUUACUACUCCUUCAGGAUACAAAGAGACGAGAACCCUGGAGAGGGAUAUGGGCAGUGGCCUUUGAAACAGAAACCUGUGUCUUGCUUCUUAUCCGCCACUGGCAACUCAUGAUGAUGAUGGUGAAUGCCGUGAUGAGGAUGCUGAGGAUGGUGAUGAUGACAAGGAUGGUGACGACUUGCGUCGAGCACUACGUGCAGAUACUCUUUCGCUUCACUGGGUUUAUACGUGGGACGCCUACCACAGCAUGGCUGCCAAGCAGUGCCAUGUCCGCACCCGGGAUCCGAACCAGCGAACCCCGGGCCGCCGAGGAGCGGAACGUGCGAACAUAACCGCUGCGCCACCGGGCCGGCCCCGAUCUCUUUCUAUUUUAGACAAUUUUGCACAAGGCACCAUUCCAAAUGCUCG
rnacentral:lncRNA from 1 species